CGGAAGGUCGUUUCGGGUUCGUAACCCUUCAGUUGGGUCGAAGCUUCUCCGGUGAAUAGCCGGACGGAGUGACGGUACCUUCACAAGAAGCACCGGCUAACUACGUGC
rnacentral:rRNA from 1 species